GGGGAAUUUUGGACAAUGGGGGCAACCCUGAUCCAGCCAUCCCGCGUGAAGGACGACUGCCCUAUGGGUUGUAAACUUCUUUUGUAUAGGGAUAAACCUACCCUCGUGAGGGUAGCUGAAGGUACUAUACGAAUAAGCACCGGCUAACUCCGUGCCAGCAGCCGCGGUAAUACGUAGGGUGCGAGCGUUAAUCGGAAUUACUGGGCGUAAAGCGUGCGCAGGCGGUGAUGUAAGACAGAUGUGAAAUCCCCGGGCUCAACCUGGGAACUGCGUUUGUGACUGCAUCACUCGAGUACGGCAGAGGGAGGUGGAAUUCCGCGUGUAGCAGUGAAAUGCGUAGAUAUGCGGAGGAACACCGAUGGCGAAGGCAGCCUCCUGGGCCAGUACUGACGCUCAUGCACGAAAGCGUGGGGAGCAAACA
rnacentral:rRNA from 1 species